GAAGAGAGAUAACCCUUA
rnacentral:snRNA from 1 species